UUUGAAUAUAGUGAGUAUUUGGAACUAUUGGAGGAGGGUCAGAGUGGGAUAUAGCACAACAGUAAUUGUCAGAGGCUGACCAUGAAAUGCAUUAAAGUGUAUUCCUAUAUCUAGUUUAGCCUUUAAUUCUCCCCAGGCGAGAGAGAGAUGUCACUCAGGACUGCUUCCGAAGGAGUUUCUCUUGCAGCUUGCUUCACUGUCUAACUCCUUUCAUACAAGUGGGUAACAUGCCCUUCAUUCAGAACCAAACCUGUGCCCUGGCUUGGUAUAUUUCCUCCACCUGCUGAGCACCCUCUCACCCUCUAUUUUUACUUGGAAGAAAGAAGACAAUAAUAUCUACCAAUCAAGAUGCUGUACCUGAAGCAGAAGAUAACCUGGCAAAGAAAAGAGUAUAGUGCUG
rnacentral:lncRNA from 1 species